GAUAGAGACGGAGAGUGCCAGGGCUCAGAAUGCUUCGGAGGUCACGGGAAGUGGGAAUGAUCUUAGAACUGGGGGGGAGGUGGGCUUGAAACAAGCUUUGAAGAAAUGGGGAGUAUUUGGCUAAAGGAAAAGUGGUGAGGGGACAGUGUCCAGAGACACAAGAGGGUGUUGGAAAGGGGCCGGUACAGCACGCGCACCAGCAAGGAGAGUUGUGGAAGGUGACUCUACAGAACAGGGUAGGCCCUGAUGAGCAGACUGUAAGUAUUUGUCUUUAGGUUCAGGGAAGCUCUGGAAGAUGCUUGGGCAGGGCAGUGACAUUGCCAUGUGAGAAGACUCCUUUGCAGAAAAUGCACAGGCCAGAUUGGGUUGGGGGGGAAUAUUUGAGGCAGAGAAACUGGUUAGGAGACAGUUGCUGUGAUCUAGGUGUGUCUAAGGCCCUGACCAGGUGAGAAAGGAGGCAGAUAUGAGAGAUGACAGCAAGGAAGUACUUACAGGAUUUAGAAAUUAAAUGGUAAUGAGGGCACAGACUGAAAAAUGACUCUAAGAUUUCAAGUUUCAUGAACAGGAGAAACACAGCAGCCAGGAGAAGAAUCUGAGGUUUUGUGUGCCUGUAAUGAGUUUUUUUUUAGAUGUGUUAUUUGAAACAGCUGCAAUUCUUUUCACUAGGUGGUUUGGAAUACAGAAUUUGGGUUCCAGAGAGAGCCCUGGCUAGAGAUGCAGAUUUGGGAACUAUAUUGAGUGCUAAUUGAAGCCUUGGGAAUGAAUAGGAUCACUCCAUAACGACUAGAUUUUGGCAAGUACUCACUUUCUGAGAUGGGAAAGACAAGGAGAAGGUAAGGUAAGAGAUCAGAGGUAGGCGGGACCCAGGUGAACAUUGUCUUAUUAAGGAAAAAAAGGAGACAGUGGCAGAAAAGACAGUGGCCCAGGAAAAGACCAAAAUAAUAAUAAUAAUAAUCAUCAUCAUCAUCAUCAGAGAGAUUCAGCACAAAGGAAAGGACACCUGAGAAUAGACCAGUGCAUUUGUCAACUGUCAACUGGAAGACCAUAGUUGGCUUUUGAAAGCGUAGAGUUAGAAGCCAUGUUGUGAAUGACUUAGGAGAGAGCAGAGAAGCAAUCAUGAAAACUCAUGAGCUUUGGUGGUAAAUGGAAGGAGAAGGGGGCUGGAUAGGGCCCCCAGCUCAUGUGGAGGUGACUGGAGGGGACAGGCAUAUUGCCAUUUGAAGUCAGAAAAUUGAAAGCCACAAAAAGAGAAGGACUGGAGGCAUCCAAGAAAGCAGCAUGGAAUUGAGAAAGGUGGUAUGGAUGGAUGACUGUUUCCUGUAUCUGAGUGACUGAAUGAAUGUGGUGUGACCCUGGGUACAUGCAAGGUUCGAAGUGACUACUGAAGUUUGCCCCUGCAAGGGUGUGUGUGUGUGGAGGAGUUAGGGAUGGAUGUCACUGCUGAAUAUGUCAGAGUGGAAUGUUCAGUGGCGAGUGGGCGGGCUGUCUAAGCAUGGAAAGGGUAGGUGGGAGUUCCCAUCAUGGCUCAGCAGAAAUGAAUCUGACUAGCCUCCAUGAGGACGCAGAUUCAAUCUCCGACCUUGCUCAGUGGAUUAAGGAUCCUGUGUUGCCGUGAGCUGUGGUGUAGUUUGCAGACGUGGCUCAGAUCAGCGGCUAUAGGGGUCUAAUCGGAGCUGUAGCCACUGGCCUACGCCAGAGCCACAGCAACGCAGGAUCCGAGCCACGUCUGCAACCUACACCACAGCUCACAGCAAUGCCGGAUCGUUAACCCACUGAGCAAGGGCAGGGACCGAACCCUCAACCUCAUGGUUCCUAGUCGGAUUCAUUAACCACUGCGCCACGACGGGAACUCCCCCAAGAGGGUUUUCUGAGUGGGAGAGAUGGCAGGGCCUGAAGAGAGCCACUGGCUGUCUUCUGUGAUCAAGGUACUGUGCAGGCACUUUACAUGCACUUUCUUUUAAACUUCACAGCAGCACUAUAACAUCAUUAUUCGCCCCAUUUUGCUGAUAAGAAAAAUUAAGGCUUAAAUAGUAAUACACUUACUUAUAAGCUCAUGUUGAAAUCCAAAUCUCUCAUUUGCAAAACCCCAUUAUUGGAGCAGUUUUGGAAAGUGUGAAAAGGAUUCAAAAGAUGAAGAGAAAUAUUAUUGAGCAGCAGCAAGGGUCUAGCAAGGGUGAAUGAACUUGACCUUGCUUACAGUCAAGGCAGAGAAGUUCCACGAUUGAGAAAAAUAGAGGAAGUGGGAAGCUGUGGAAAUCCAGGCUUUGUACCUGGUGUGGUAGAGGAAGGUUAGGUGAGGAGGCUAUGACUAAGGACAGUGUUGAAUUCAUUAAUCAUUUCGGGUCAUUAAAUCUAGUCCCUUUAACAAGACUGGAAGCCUCUGGCGUGUUGUCUCAUUGUGUCUUGAGAAGAUUUAAGAACUGAUUCACAAUGCAGUAACUGCUUGUGGCCUCAUCAACAUAAAACAAUGUGGAAACUGAGAUUAAAAUGUGUGCUAAAUAAAUCCAACAUUGUUUUAUAGCUGUGUGCUUUGCCUAUUAAGAUGCUAUUAAUCCAAACAGUGAUUUUAAUAAUAAUAACAAUAAUAAUCACGACAAUAAAGCUCUUUGUGAAGGUAAAUCUGGCUGAAUGGACAUGUCUGGAUCAGACUAACUAUGAAAUCAAAGAGCCCAUCUUUGGUGAAACAAGACUUUGGCAGAUGUGUUCCUUUACCUUGUGUUGUGUCGCUCUAGGCAAGAAGAUAAUGAUAAAGAAUAUUUUUGAAAACUUAUUUGUUCUAGGCAGCGUUCUAAGUACCUCAUAUCCACUUGUUGAUUUAAUCUUCAUAAUGACUCUGGAGGUAAGUAUUAUGAUUCUCAUUUUACAGAUAAGGAAACAGAGGCCCCAGAAGUUAAGAGCCCAAGAGUACACAGCAAAUCUGUAGCACAUUUAGAACUUGAACUUGAUGGUUGCUCCCAAGUCCACAUUCCUCACUACUUUGCCAUUCUUCAAAUUAUGACAUUUUCUAUUUUAUGGUACAAGCAGCUUCUUUGUGUUUGAUGAGAAACAUGAGUAACCUCUGACAAAUGUGAAGUGCGUCCUUCCUUAGCAGUUGGAUAAAUUCCCUUUUAUCCAGCACCUGUUCUGUCAAUUGUGUUCAGAAGGAAAUCCUCUUUCUUACUCAUUUGUGUGACAUUUGUAUCUCAGUGAUUCUUUGGCAAAAAUGUUCAAACCUAAAGAAAAGGAUGCCUUCUUGUUUUUCUCCAUAAAUAACAGCAAGACUGAGUCUGUGAAUUGUCAGAUUUAUUGUUUCUCUCAGUUUCGACCAGUUUGCAUGCAUUUGGCUUUAGAAAUGGUAUUUGAGAAAUCUUUAAAGAAAGGAAGUUAAUCUGAUGACCAUUGUGAAGUAAUUCUUUUAAAAUCAAUUAUUUUCUCAGCUUUAUUGAGAGACAAUUAGCCUAAUAUUGUGUAAGUUUAAGGGGUUCAACAUGAUGAUUUCCUACACAUCUAUAUUGCAAAAUAAUUCACACUGUAAGAUUAACAUGCCCGUUUCCUCACAUACGUACAAUUUUGUGUGUAUGUGGUGAGAAUAUUUAAGAUUUACUCUCCCAGCAACUUUCAAGUGUGUUGUACAGAAUUGUUAACCCUAGUCGCCAUGCUGAAUAUUAUAUCCCCAAGACUUAUUCAUCUUAUAACUGGAAGUUAGUACCCUUUGAUCAAAAGGUAAUUUUUUAUCAGAAGAAUAGUGACGUCUGUCAUGUUUAUUAGGAUUUCAAUUGGGGGGAAUCAUACAUUUGGAUUGUUUUUAUAUUUAUAUGCCCCAGAGAUAGAUCACAUGUUGUAGUUCUGAAGGAGAGGAUUUGGCUUAUGUUUAUUUGCUUAGAGCAAUAGGUAGAAAUCAAGGAAUGACUCUUUUGGCUUUUUCCAAUCCUAAUCCUAAAUAUAUUACUCAAAGAUGACAAAGAGAAAUUUACAUUAGGUUUUGAACAUUAAUAUGAAGUGUGUAUUUUAUCAUCAUGGUCUGUCAAAGUAUACCUUUCUAGACUAGACAGUGGGAUGCAUAAUAUUAAUAAAAAUGUAUGUUAAAGAAUAGUUCUCAAACUAUUUUAAAGCUAUUGUUUAAACUCUUAUCAAAUGCUCUUAAAUAUCUCAUUCAGUGUUAGAAAUUCAGGUUGAGAUUUAUUUAAGGAAACUGUGAUUUGAGUUGCUCAUACUGCCUUCCAGGAUGAUUAAUACAUACAUAACAAACUUAUUUCUAGGCGGCAUUUGCUUGUCGAGUUUUCAAAGCAGAGCAUUAUAUCUGACAUAAGUAAAAGGAUUUUGUCACAGCUGUUCUCUGGUGAAGAAUUUGUAGAACACAUAAAAUCAAAUUCUGUUGGCCAGAUCAUUGCCCAACAGAAAAGUAUCUUGAUAAAAUUUCUUUUAAAAUUUCUUGUUUGGAGUUCUCGUGGUGGCUCAGUGGUUAAUGAAUCUGACUAUGAACCAUGAGGAUGCGGGUUUGAUCCCUGGCCUCACUCUGUGCGUUAAGGAUCUGGUGUUGCUGUGAGCUAUGGUGUAGGUCACAGAUGUGGCUCUGAUCUGGCAUUGCUGUGACUCUGGCGCACAGGCCGGUGGCUACAGCUCUGAUUAGAACCCUACCCUGGGAACCUCCAUAUGCCACGGGUGCGGCCCUAAAAAAAAAAAUUCUUGUUUGGCUUAAUGUGUAUUGCUAAAGUUAUCCCCUUCUAAGAAGAAUGGUCUAAGACAGAUCCUCUUAACAAUACAAAUGUGCCCACGCCCAGUGUGCCCAUGUGUGCCCAUGUGUGCAAAUGUGUUUCUAUACUUCUAAUAGGUCCAUGUGCACAAGCAGAAGUCUCUUAUUUUGCAUCAUUAACACAUACAUUUGCUUAUGUAUGUGCAACCUUAAAGUAUGAUUCAUAACAUCUGCAUGCUCAAAAUUUGUCAUAAGCAAUGUUAAGUUGUACACAUAUUUAAAAUUUUUUCAAAAAUUUCUAAAAACACAAAAUGUUUGACAAAUAGUGCUGAGUAAUUGAUAAAGUAAACAUUGAGUUGCCUGACAAGUAGGAUUCCUCCACCCCAAGUUUCUUAAUUUUAUACUAGAAUGAUUUUAAACACAUGUGGUUAUAAGCUUAUCAGAUUUCCAAAAACGAACCUUCUAUAAAAAUCACACUGGGCCCCUCAGCUAUGUUUUCUUUCAUUAUUUAUAGACAAAUCAAAAACAAAUGUUCUUUAAGAAAAAGUACAAUGAACUGAAACCAUCUGUCAGGGUGCCCUUUUUUCCUGAAUUCAUCUGUAAUACAGACGUGUAGUAAACCAGAGCCUAAGUCUCAUGAAAUUAUACCAUAUUUAAUGGUAGUUUUAAUGUCAAUUCAGAGACAAAAAAAAGUGUUAAUGUCUGUUGCAACAAGACCUAAAUGGCUUAUUUAAUUCAGUGAAUGUUAUGAUUAAAUAAACCAGUGACAUGGGGCAAAUGCAAAUAUUUUCAUUUUGGAGGUCUUAAUUUCAAGUAUAUUUAAAAAAGUAGACAGUUUUCAAAAACCCACUUGAAGAAAUCGAAUGACUAUUAUAAAAAUGCUUCUGGAUAUUUUCCUCCCAUAGCUAUCGUAGGCUAUUGAUUAGCCUACUGCUAUUGAAUGUUUGAUCAUAAAACAAGAUCACAGAAAAUGCGGUGAAUGAAAAGUCUCAGAAAAUAUAUGAUUAAGAUGUUGGCUUGCUUACUUGUUCUAGACAUAAAAAAUUCUUUUAUGUAAUAAAAACAUUUCACUUCAUUAAGAACAAGCCUAUUAAAUUAACAGGAGAUUAUUUUUAAAUUGAACAUUUUGUCUAUUAAGACACUGGGUUUUUUUUUUAUUUGUUUUUGUUUUGUUUCUAAUUAAAUGGUGUCACCCUUUCUAGAUGUGAUACCUUGAGAAGGACAUAACAUCAUUUAUAUAAAAUUCCUGCCAGGAAGGAACAAUGUAUAAGUUUAAUCCUGAGGAAACUUCAGACAGCUCUAAAUGAGGACCUCUCUAUUUUUAAAAAAACAGAAUGAAUUCUUUAAAAAUGUCUAUGUCCUAAAAGGCAAAGAAAGGCCAAAGGAAUUUUCAAAAUCAAAUGACACUAAAGGAAUAUGAAAACAAGACGAUCUUAGACUGGAUUCAGUUCUGAAGGAAAAAAAAA
rnacentral:lncRNA from 1 species